GGCAGAAGGUGGAGCCUCCAGGCUUUCCUUCAUCCCCAACACUCAGGGCUCCUCCACCCGGAGCCCAGGCCCCCCCACCCAGCUCCCUGCCCUGCUGUCCAGGCCCAUCUCGCUGGGGCUUAGCUUGAGCUUAGUCCGGGAGGCGAAGGAGAGGUUAGGCCAGGAAAGGCAGAGAUGUAGGAUGGAGGCUCAGAACCUGUUGAAUGGAAGAAAACUGGGCCCAACUGGGACUCCCAAAGUCUGCCUCAGGUGGCAGGAUGGGCACUUGGCAGGGAACUAGGGAGAGACGUGAAGGUGGUGAGGGUCCUGCAGGCCUGUGAGGGUGGCAGGCCCGAGCUGCUUCAUCUGCAAAAUCCUGUUGAGUGCCUACUGUGUGCCAGGCACUGAUGCCCAGCUCCUCACCCUGCCUCCCAUCUUUUACCAGGCGGCCCUUUCUGCCCCAUCCUGCACAGUGUGAGGGACUUCUCAGCGCUCCCUCUGAGAAGUGUAGAGCCCCAGCUUGACCCCUGGUCUGUUCUCUGCAGACACCCAGCACACACAUGGGCUGGUCUGGUUCAAGGUGGAAACACAAGACUAAAGCUGCCAGGAGGCCAAGGUGGGACAGGGUAGGGUCCUCUCUCAGUAGGUCUUGGAGGCAUUUUGGGUUCCUACUUCCUGGGACCCAACUCCUUCCACACUGGGCUCACCUUGUCUUGGGAGAGGGUGGGGGAGUACUAGUCCUGGUUGUCAUGAAGUCCUCUAUUCCCUGACCCCAAGAAGGGGUGGGGACUUGCCCUGCCUCUUCCGUCCUCUGCCCACCUCUCCCUCCCUCCCCUUUUCUUUCCUGGCCAUCCUCCCGUGACAUCUUUUCCUCUCUCUUUCCUAGGCCUCUCCUCCAAAGGUCACAGUGCUGUACUCUUAACUGAGGGCAGCCCUGCCCGGGUGUUGAGGCUGAGGUGGGGUGUAUGUGGGGUAUGCAAUGGAGCCGGGGCCACAUUGGUGACCAUGUGUGGUUCUCAGCUCCUCAGUAGCUGGGCAAGGCCCCAAGCCCACCCCAAGGGGUCCUGUCUGGAGUGGGCUACAAGGGGUCUGGGAGGCAAGGCCUCAUGCUUGGGAAAGGCCAAAGGGGUGUUGGGGGUGGGUAAUGGGACACAAUGAGGUAGUCACACGAGGCAGAGGCAUGUUGGGGGUGGGGGGAGCGGACACUGGAACACACACACACACACACACAUGCUCACACACACAACCAGCCAGACAAUCGGGCCAGUGUGUCUGGGGCCUCGGAGCCCAGUGAAUUAGGAGUUUGAUAAGGGUUUUCUCUUUCUCUCGCUUGCUGGCCUUGGACAAUCUCCCCCCAGUUUUCCUCGACGCCACCCCCGGCGCUGCCAACCCUCCUCCCCCCGCCUCCCUUCUCUUCCCUGUGCCCAGACUCUUGUUCGGGGCCUUGAAACAGUGAGCUGUCUUUGUUCGAAAUACAGGUGAACGGCAAUCAUGUGAUUAACACACACACACAUAAAAAGCUUUUUAACAGCGCCCGCUCGGCCUCAGAACCGCCCGGAGAGGAGCCGCCCUGGAUGGACAGAGGGACGAGGGACGAGCAUCUACCCAGUCGUGUCCCGGCUGCCCCGCAGUCGCCUCCAACACCCGCUGCUGCCCGCCCGCUGCCUGCCUGCCUGGCAUCUCUCUUUCCCGGUGGGUCCCCACUCAUCCUUCCACCCCUCAGUUCCUCCUCUUUGAGGAAAGGGCCUCCCCGCUCUCUGCCGUGUCUGUGACUGGCCUGAGACCCCCCUGGGGCAGGAGGGGUGGUUGUGGAGGGAAAGAGCCCAGAGUUAGGAGGUGGAAUGUGGGGUCCCACAGCUGCCCCCUCUCUAACUCCCUGCUUCCUCCUUUGCCCUCCUUGGCCCAGCUGGGCCAGGAUGGGGGUGGGGGUAGCAGUGGGCACGCUCUGUCUGCAGGAAGCCACGCUAGACAGAAGGGGCCACUCCCUCUCUGUCUCCCUUGUCCCCGCACAGACACUGCCUUCCUCUCAGGACUGUGCUGGGCUUUCUGCUGAGCAGUGUUGGGUGAGGCAGGUGGGCCUGCAGGGGGGUGGGAAGGGCUGUCAGAUGACCAGUGCUGUGUGUGUGGUUGGGGCCCCUGCUGCAAACACAUCCCUGCCCACCAUGCUGGCAACUGGGAUCCCCUCCAUCCCAUCCCAGACCCUGGGAACCCAGUGUUCUCCAGCAGGGGAGGGUGAAGGACCCACACUCAUUCCUGAAGAGCAGGGAGCUUGGAGAGGGGGGGGAUCCUGGCUGAAGACACCUGGGCCUCUGCCCCAGCAGGACAACAGGAGGGCCAGUGUCACCUUCUGCUCCUUUCCCUGCUAGGGGUGGCAGGGGUCCCUUUACCCCUCAUUAUUGACCCUUCCCCAGGGAUGCCUUGACCCCCUUACCCCACCCCCCAUCACCUCUGUGUCCUGAAGUGAGGGUUUGUCACCGUCCAUGGCAAGGUGUGGUGCCUGGUGGGCUCUGUAACCUGCCCUCUCUCUGGGUGUUUCUUCCGCAGCAGAGAGGGGCCUGUGGUCUAAGCGUAAUGGUGGAAAUCCAGGCUUCCUUCCAUGGCCCAAGGAGGCCUUUCUAGAGCAACAGAGUUUUCCUGGGACUUGGCCUGGCUUUUGUUAAGGCAGGUCCUAGAUUUACUCAGAAGAUGGGCCCCAGAGAGGAGGAGAGGAAAGAAAUAUCUGUCAUUCAAACAUGAAACCCACUGAUGACACUGCCUGGCAGAGCUGCCUCUGGUCAGCAGUUACCCUUCACCCCCCAGCUCCCAAGUCCUCUUCCUGAGGGAACUGACCCUGCUUUAUGGAAGGCUCCACCUGUGUUCCGCACCCUGGGUCCAUGGUCCCUCACCUGUCACAUGGGGCAAUGGUCACCCUCCCUCUCUGCCUGCCCUGCAGGAUACACUGAGAUGAAGGUCAGGAAAUCUACUGGCUGCAGAGCCAGGGGCCAUGCAGGAGUGAGGGACGGUCUGGUCAAGUUGAGGCUCUGCCCCCGCCUCAGUUUCCCCACACAGGCAUGAGACUGUCUUCCUGACUCUCAGAGGACAGGGCUGAGAUGGGAUGAAGGAACACAGGGAAAGCAUUUAGCACCUCUGAGUGCGUGUGGAUGUGACCUGGAGGGUCCUGGCAAUCCACUCUUUAAUUCUAUCUGGCCUGUGCAUCCUCCUACCUCCAGUUGCCCUGUGGGGGCCUUUCACAGGGCCUGGCUUGUGGAUGUGGGGUUUGGCGUAGGGCAGUGUUUCUCACAUGGGAAGUGCACUGGGAUUCUUCAGGUUGGGGUGGGGCCUGCGGUUCUGCAUUUCUAAUCAGUUGCCUAGGACUGGCUCUAAUUCUUGUUGAAUUUAGAAUCACUUGUGGAAUUAAGAAAAACAUACUGGGCCAGGCAUGGUGACUCAUUCCUGUAAUCCCAGCACUUUGGGAGGCCAAGGCGGGCAGAUGACCUGAGGUCAGGAGUUCGAGACCAGCCUGGCCAACAUGGUGAAACCCCAUG